GGUGGCCUAGUGGUUAGAGCGUCCACCUCAGAUGCGGGAGGUCGUGGGUUUCGAUCUCCGGUAGAGUCA